GCGGCGUGCUUAACACAUGCAAGUCGAACGGAAAGGCCCUGCUUUUGUGGGGUGCUCGAGUGGCGAACGGGUGAGUAACACGUGAGUAACCUGCCCUUGACUUUGGGAUAACUUCAGGAAACUGGGGCUAAUACCGGAUAGGAGCUCCUGCUGCAUGGUGGGGGUUGGAAAGUUUCGGCGGUUGGGGAUGGACUCGCGGCUUAUCAGCUUGUUGGUGGGGUAGUGGCUUACCAAGGCUUUGACGGGUAGCCGGCCUGAGAGGGUGACCGGCCACAUUGGGACUGAGAUACGGCCCAGACUCCUACGGGAGGCAGCAGUGGGGAAUAUUGCACAAUGGGCGGAAGCCUGAUGCAGCAACGCCGCGUGCGGGAUGACGGCCUUCGGGUUGUAAACCGCUUUCGCCUGUGACGAAGCGUGAGUGACGGUAAUGGGUAAAGAAGCACCGGCUAACUACGUGCCAGCAGCCGCGGUGAUACGUAGGGUGCGAGCGUUGUCCGGAUUUAUUGGGCGUAAAGGGCUCGUAGGUGGUUGAUCGCGUCGGAAGUGUAAUCUUGGGGCUUAACCCUGAGCGUGCUUUCGAUACGGGUUGACUUGAGGAAGGUAGGGGAGAAUGGAAUUCCUGGUGGAGCGGUGGAAUGCGCAGAUAUCAGGAGGAACACCAGUGGCGAAGGCGGUUCUCUGGGCCUUUCCUGACGCUGAGGAGCGAAAGCGUGGGGAGCGAACAGGCUUAGAUACCCUGGUAGUCCACGCUGUAAACGGUGGGUACUAGGUGUGGGGUCCAUUCCACGGGUUCCGUGCCGUAGCUAACGCUUUAAGUACCCCGCCUGGGGAGUACGGCCGCAAGGCUAAAACUCAAAGGAAUUGACGGGGCCCCGCACAAGCGGCGGAGCAUGCGGAUUAAUUCGAUGCAACGCGUAGAACCUUACCUGGGUUUGACAUGGAUCGGGAGUGCUCAGAGAUGGGUGUGCCUCUUUUGGGGUCGGUUCACAGGUGGUGCAUGGCUGUCGUCAGCUCGUGUCGUGAGAUGUUGGGUUAAGUCCCGCAACGAGCGCAACCCUUGUUCACUGUUGCCAGCACGUUAUGGUGGGGACUCAGUGGAGACCGCCGGGGUCAACUCGGAGGAAGGUGGGGAUGACGUCAAGUCAUCAUGCCCCUUAUGUCCAGGGCUUCACGCAUGCUACAAUGGCUGGUACAGAGAGUGGCGAGCCUGUGAGGGUGAGCGAAUCUCGGAAAGCCGGUCUCAGUUCGGAUUGGGGUCUGCAACUCGACCUCAUGAAGUCGGAGUCGCUAGUAAUCGCAGAUCAGCAACGCUGCGGUGAAUACGUUCCCGGGGCUUGUACACACCGCCCGUCAAGUCAUGAAAGUUGGUAACACCCGAAGCCGGUGGCCUAACCGUUGUGGGGGAGCCGUCGAAGGUGGGACUGGUGAUUAGGACUAA
rnacentral:rRNA from 1 species